CUCCAUGCAAGCACUACCUGGCGCUUUCUCCAGGAUUUGGUGGUAGAGAUGGACGGCAGCUUCGUAUUCCUGUUUUCUAAACAUCAGCCCAGCCCAGACAGACUUGGAGCAUUUCUGGUGCACCAUCAAUGAAGAAGCAAGGCUGGGGAAAUAAACGGAAGGUGGAGCUCGGAGGUGUAACCUAGGUCAUCUUUUGAGGACCAGGCCUGGAGUCUUCCAGACUUGCAGUCUUAUUCUUCCUUCUUCAGCUUCUAUCAGAAAACGGCGGAUAAUGAGCGAAAUUCCAUACUUUUGUCAGACACAUUCUCAGGACACAUUCUAGAGACUCGGGAUGAAGAAACACAGUCUGGAGAAACCCCUCCCUGAAACACCGCCGGAGAAGAGGCUGUCAGUGUGCUACCUGUGGCUUACCGGUAGCAUCCGAUAUAGAGGCGGCUGUCUUUGCGGGUGUGCAGGAAGCUUAAAGCAAUCCCCCUUGCCACUCUUGGCCCGGGAGAGAAAUGAAACAUGGAGAUGGGUGGCAGCAGUCCUGCUACGUAGAAGUCAAGGAGAAGAUGGCCCACAUCCACCUGCGGAGCGGCUUCAGUGGCAGAACGGAGAGCACGCCCUUCAGUGCCCAGGGCCCCUGUUUCUGGAGGGCAGCAGGGAGGUGCCCGGUUAGCUGGGGGUUACAGAAACCCCCAACUGUCUGUAAGAAGCUGACUGUUCCUUAGCACCUCUAUUGUUAAUUCCUUCCUAGGGGAAAACCUAUGGACGCAUCUCCUUGUACUUUCCUGCUUUCAAAGACACUUCAAUGUCAUCGCAUUGGGCACAUAGAGGUCUAUUUGAAGUAUAUCUUCAUUGUAUUUGUACCUUUGAUCAUUUUAACACAGUUACUCUCUUUGCCCAUUUUGGUGCUUUUUGCCUUGCAUUCAGCCUUCCCAGGCAUUUCUUCCUCAGUCUCUGCUUUGUUUUUGUUUGCCCGGUAUGUUUGUAGCAACUUUUAACUUUUAUUCUGGGCCUUUUGUUUUUUGGAGUAUAGGCAGUAGGGGUUCCCUUGUUUAAAUGACUGUGAAUGUCUUUUUCAUUUAACAGGUACAUUUAUUUCAUUUACAAUUUUAGUAUCACAGAUCUGUGUUUUGGGGCUUUUUGUCGAUUUAGUUUGUUUUCAUUUAUAUAUGCUGCUUGUGGUUUGCUUAAUUUCUGCCUUUGACAUGUGGCCCUGCUUGCUUUUCUUCCUAAUUCUUGAUUAAAGUGGUGGAAAUAGUCUCUUUUUCAUCCUACUAACAGUCAUCUUUCUAUCAAGAAAUAUUUGGUCUAAAAAAUUGAAUGAACGAGCAAAGUAAACAGAAGUGGUCUCAGAGAUAUAGAGGAACAAUUGAUGGCUGCUAGU